CAAAGUUAGAGGCGUGGAUAUAAAAAGGGUAGCGCCUGUCCAGUUCGACCACAAUUUUAUUUACGGCCGUUUGAAGUCAGUCAAGUUAAAGCAGUUGGUGAAAAAUCAGAAAAAGGUAAAGAUAUAAUUUUUGAUACCGAGUCCAAAAUCAUUGAACUGGAAAAAUCUGAAACGCUCGAAUAGAACUCGCCUUAACAUUAAUGCGUUCACAUACACUAGGCCGACAAAGAAAAGCACAAUUAGCCGUCGGGUGAAAUUGGGUUUACACCAUGCACGCCAGAGCGAAAUUGUUUGAAAACGUCACUUUUGCCGAAACACUUUGAGCACGGUUUCUAAACGGAACGAGAUGAAAACGGAGCGCUUCGCGGCUUCGUGUCAACAAACGCCGUUACUUUUUUGUGCCGCUUGCAAACCUAUAUAGCAUCUCAGGUCUCGAAACAAUAAAUUCGAAUGCUUUUCGUUGAAAUUUCUUUGCUUCAUUCCAAAUAUUUUGGGUUUACGCGAGUGCUAAUUCAAAUUGUAAACAAACUGUAAAGGCCUGAUUCCACGAGCGCUUUUUCUCGGCGAAAUGCGAAAUAUUUCGCACGAAAUGAAAUCAGCAGUAAAGAUAAAUUAGGCUUCGCGAGAAAAAAUUUCGCUUCGCCAGCGAGUAGAAGUGCGUUCUACUCACUGCGAAAACGAAAAGAGUCAAAUUCAAUAGAAUAACUCGAUCGUGUGCAGCCAUCCAUCGUAUUUCGGCAUUUCACACACACGAUUUCGUGCGAAGAAUUUCGACGUCGUGGAAUCACGCCUUUAUGGCGUAGUGUAUGAAGAACACGCGUAAAUUCUGCAGGCUUUAUUUCGCUCCGACGUGGUGUGAACGAAGUCUAAUCAGAAUCACUUUCCAUUUUUUUGUUUUAGAAAAUGCGUUUCAUAUUGGUGUGUGGUUUGUUGUGCGUGUUGAUGUUUUCCCGGGGACAGUGUGACGAAAUCCAGACAGAUUUGGUGAACGACGUGUUCGAGGAUGUAUUUGCGGCCGGGGAAGAGCUACCGGAGAAAAGAGCGCUGCCAAAACGCAAGGCGGGCCCGGGAAAUUGCGGAUACGGAUUCUGGUGCGUGGAAAAGUAAAACUUUCUGAAAGCUCUUGGCGAAAAAUGAAGUUUGAAAAAUGAUUUAAUAUUUGUAGAUAUACAUUCAAUAUGAAAUAAAAUCAAUUAAAUGCAAUAAUUGUUCCUUGUUUUUGUUUGUUUUCGCUUCAGCGAACUGGCUGAAAUUCUACAAUUAAUACUGAAUUACAGCUGGGUUUUCAAAAUAAGCCGGCCGAGGUUUACCGCUGGUUACUUUGUUUCGUACUUGAAACAUC